GAUGAACGCUGGCGGCGUGCCUAAUACAUGCCAGUCGAGCGAACAGAUGAGGAGCUUGCUCCUCUGACGUUAGCGGCGGACGGGUGAGUAACACGUGGAUAACCUACCUAUAAGACUGGGAUAACUUCGGGAAACCGGAGCUAAUACCGGAUAAUAUAUUGAACCGCAUGGUUCAAUAGUGAAAGACGGUUUUGCUGUCACCUAUAGAUGGAUCCGCGCCGCAUUAGCUAGUUGGUAAGGUAACGGCUUACCAAGGCAACGAUGCGUAGCCGACCUGAGAGGGUGAUCGGCCACACUGGAACUGAGACACGGUCCAGACUCCUACGGGAGGCAGCAGUAGGGAAUCUUCCGCAAUGGGCGAAAGCCUGACGGAGCAACGCCGCGUGAGUGAUGAAGGUCUUCGGAUCGUAAAACUCUGUUAUUAGGGAAGAACAAAUGUGUAAGUAACUAUGCACGUCUUGACGGUACCUAAUCAGAAAGCCACGGCUAACUACGUG
rnacentral:rRNA from 1 species